UACACAAAAACCUCCACAAAUAUACUAAAACUUACACAAAUAUACUUAGACCUCAACAAAUUCACUAAAAAGCUUCCACAAAAUCCCCACAAAACCUCCAUAAAGAGAAGUGAAACUACCACUGCUCUUCUUUCUCAUUUUGCAGGUGAUGGACGGUUGAGAAGACGAGCCAAACAUUGGAGACGAGCUGCCACAGGAGCCUGAAGGAAAAGUAACGAGAGCAGCCAGGAGCUGAAAGUGUGGGCAGAGGAACGGGCUGCUGAGGGCGAGUUGGACAACAGUUUCCUGUCAGCAAGUUUGGUGGACUGACAUGUUGUCUGGUUGGUGCUUGGCCCAGGACAGGAAGGCUCUGCAGCAGGUGAUCCAUCCAUCCACAGAGCAUCAGUGACAGUGGAGAGGAGAGGUGUCUGCUCAGAACUCAAAGAAGAAUACUGAAAAAGACCA